rnacentral:lncRNA from 1 species
UUUUUUUUUUUUUUUUUAUGAUUCACAAAAAAUAUUUCAUACCAAUAUAGAGCAUGUUUUUCUCACUUUAUGUCUUUGAUCUUUCAAUAUUCCUACUCAAUUAAUUUUCUUUUAUCACAACUUCAACAGUAUUGUUCUCUGAGUUGUUUUCCUAGUAUUAGAUUUUACACUUACAUAACUUACUUGACAAAGCACAAUAUUAAAAACUUGUACCAACAAAAAAGUUUUAGAAAUUUUAGAAUAAGAAGAAAAUUAAAGACAUUCCCAAUCCAACUUUUGAAACUAUAAAUUGAAUCUCAUUAAAAUGAAAUGACUUCUAGUAAAGGUAGAGUGGAAUCAAAGAGUUAUGAAAUAUUUGAGUUAAGCUAGAGGUGAGACAAAAAAAAAAAAAAAAAAGUUAAUGCAUUCACAUGAUAAUAUGUCAUAAAAAUUAAUAAGAAAGCAAAAAAGCAACGCAAUUUCCCAUUCCCCUUCCAUUUAAAAUGGGACUUGCUUUUGCCUAAUUAGUAGCCUGUGGGGGACAAUUAUCAACCCUGAGAGGAUCACAAAUGGAGUCACCCACUAGUUUAGUUUGGGAAAACAAGAAAAAUAAAAUCUUUACUUUGAUUUUCUUUCUUUUCAAAAUCUGAUCACACUUCUAGAUUGAAAAAAAUAUAAUUGAAUUACCUUUGUAUAGUUCCAAGAAAAUAUUAACGUAGACAUCUAAACGUCACAGAUUUAGUAUAGAUCUAGAAAUUCAAUAUCAAAAGUUAGUUUUUUUUUUUGUAAAACUCUCUCAACCAUCUCUACAACUAUAGGUUUAACCACCCCUCAUCAUAUCAUUUUUUCAAAUUAUUUUUAUUAAACUAUACAAUUCCAUUGGCGAAAUUGAUAGAUUUGUCUUACAAUUGCAAAGUUUACUUUCACAUAGUAUAUAUGUCUUAUGAAACAUAUCCAACAUGUUCUAACCAUAUUUCACUCACUUAUAUUAGACAUAAACUACAAAGGUCAUAGUCUAUUAUCAAUAAUUUGUGAUAACCAUUUCAUUUUUCUUUAUCUUCUUACUGUUGUUAUGAUAUAUUUCAUAUUUGUUAAAGAAACAUUUGAUCUCACAAUUUAAUCUAGUCUUUACACUUUCAAUGCAAGUUUUAAACAAAAUAUAAAGUUUUGAAAGCAUAUUAAUAUAUUGUAUUUUCUUGAAUAAAUUAAAACUAUUAUUAUAAUUUAACUAAUUUUAAUUAAAAAAAAUUUAAACAGAUUAAAACUGUGAUUUAAAUCGAAAGUAUUAAAAGCUAAAAUCAAACAACUAAAAAUUUUAUAAACUAGAGUGAUAUUUUAACUCUUUUUUAAUUUAGAUAAUUAAUCUUUUAUAAAAACACUUGGUUGAAACCUAUUUAUCAUUACUUACAAGAUACAAUUUGAAAAUGUACUAGGACUAACUUAGUAGAUGGAGAGUAAUAAGAAGAGGUAGAGUUGAGGUACAAAUAUUGUCUAAAGGACUUAGAGGUAGACUAUUUAAUAUUAUAUAUCUAGACUUGAACACAGAGCAUCUUAGAGCCACACGACUCUGAUAUCAUAUUAAAUAAAAAAUUGUUAAUGCUACAUUUUUCCUCUUGAUCUUUAAUUCAAUCCAUUAACUUGAUUUGUUAGAUUAGUUAUAUGGUCUAUAUUAACAACCAUUUUUCCUUUUUUCUUGAUGCAUCUUACAACAAUAGCUCGACUCCAACCAUUAAAAUAUUGUAGGAAUAGUUAACGAGAGAGAAAGGGAGAGAGGGGUAUUGGUAUUGGUAUGGAUUGGGUUGGGAAAUGAUGAUUGUAAGUUGGGUAUGUCGAAAAAUAAGAUAAAAUUUAUCUGGGUUUUAAGGGGGGAAAUGUGAUUGGUUUACAUAGCAUUGCAUGUUCCCCACAAAAUGUUUGGUGUCAGCUGGCAGAGACAUGAUGGCCUUUUCCUUACAUAGAAACACACUAUUUGUUGACAGUACUCUUCAAUUUCUAAACCAAAAUACACACAAGAAAAAGAAAAAAAAAAUUAUAAUGUGUGUUUAGGGCUUUGGAAAAUGAGGCCACAAACAAACAAAACCCCUAUUCAAAUAACAAACUCAUCAUCCUUUUAGGUUUCUGCCUUUCUCCAAUUUGUGACUGUUUUUGUGAAAGAUAAGGGCAUGGGAUAAAGUUACCUCUCUAGUCGGCGCAUGUCACUUUCUUCUCCCUAAUUUUUUCACCCCAUCUCUCUCUUUUAAUAUAAUAAUAAAUAAAUAAAACCCUAAUAAAGUUACAAGAGAUGGAGGUUUUUCAUAAUGCUCUAAUUUCACAUUAUGAAAUUCAAACUUUUCGAUGUAAGGAAAUUAGACAGAUAUAUAUAAUUCUCUAAAAAGUAUGAUUAUUAUGGUUAGAUUGUAAACAAUUGGAAGAUUUGUAGUACAAUGGGUACAAGAUGUACAAGAGUAAAACUAGCUUGCAUUUGAUCACCUGGUUCUUAAAUUAUGAACACACUCAUGAAAGAUUUACUUGUUUGAUGAUUAUCUUCAUGACACAACUUCUUUUACAGUGCACAAUAGCUAGUGUGAUACUCUAAAUCUAUAAUAAAGUGACAUAUAGUUAAUUAGGUAAACAAUUUAAUUAAUUAAUUUUAAAUCGUUGGUGCUUAUAAUAUAGAGAUACAUAAUGCCUCUUGGUUAAUAUCAUAGGAACAAUUCAGAAUCAAUUUAGUUGAAAGAGCAUUUGAAGGGUUGAAAUUGGUGUUUAAUAUAUUUGAUUUAUCUAACGAAAGAAAAACAUGUUUAUUGUAAUUUAGUACAUUAAAUAUCAAAUAAAAUUACUCAUAUAUUGAUAUACCUGAAAUAAAAUUCUAUAUACCUAGUUUGAAUGAGACUCAAAUAAGAAACUGUAUGUUAGGAAAAGUUUGAUAAGUAAAUUAGAUUUAAAUAUCUUAUUUUAUUCAUUAUUUAGAGAACAUUUCUUUUGUAUAAUUUUGUUACAUCUCGUUCAGUCUCUUUCCAAGGAGACUCUCAUGAGCCUUAUCCUAGUUUGAGUCAUAGCAAUGAAGUGUUUGUAGCAAUUAAAACCUCGUUGAUAUACGCCCAUCAACCCAUGGUCUUCAAUAUACAUCAAGGUACGUAAAUGAUUAAGCAUUGUUUAUUUUUUCUUAUUUAAUUAUAAACAAAGUCAAUGCAAUCCAAUGUUUCUCUAUAGGACAAAGAGUUCAUUCCCUUGGAGAAAAAGAAUUAUUCUUUUUAACCAUGAAAAAAACAUUAGGUUUAAUCAAAAAAUUAAUUGAUAAUGUGAAUAGUAACUCGGCUAUUUUUUAAAAUAUUUUUGAAGUCACGCCAUCUUUUCCACUACGAAAUCCUCCUCAACAAGGUAUCUAAUCCCUCACAAGUAUAUCAUCCAUGGAUAUGUGUUUCCUAUUUAUAUACUUAGAAACUUCUUCACUUCUAGUCUAUGGAUGUGUACUAGUGUCUUCUACAUCAGGGUGUUUAAUAACCCUACUUUUCUUUAUGCAUGGGCAUGCAUUAUGAUUGAUGUUGACAUUUAAUUAUGCCUAAGGAGGCUAAAUAUGGAGAAGCAAAGGAGAAGUGAAUAGAUUAUGGGUGUUAAGGAAAGAUUCUUUCAAGUAUAAAAUAGUGAGGGAAUAUAUUUUAGUUUUGGAUGCAUUUAAGUAACAUAUCGUUGUGUUUUUCUUAUCCUUCUCUAUUUACAAAUUAAAAUCUAAAUCAACAAUUGGAAAUAUAGUUAUCAUGGCGAAAUCAAAGUAGUUGCAUUCAUCCUUUGGUCGUCCACGACUGUGUUGGUAACUCUACUUUCUUCCUUUUUAAUUUUUUUUUUUUGUUGUUGAUGUGGAUUGAAAAUAUAUGAGUUGUUAAAAUUUAUGUCAUAAAACUCGUAGUUUGUAAUUAUAUUAUAUUCAAUAAAGAGAGAUCUUGAAUACUAUAAUCUUAAAUCCAAUAAACUAAGGUUUCGAAACUAUUUGGAGUAAACUUGAAUUUUAUGUAGAGACAUAAACGUGGAUUAACUUGAACUUUGGGCGCCUUAUUCUGGGACACUAUGGAUGCAGGCGACUUUGUAGUCAAUGCAAACAAUGUGAUCUUGAAUUGUUCAUGUAAAGACAUGAAAUUGAAGACAUUUUAUGUAAAGAGCUUACAUAAGAAUGAACCAUGAAAUAGUCACUUUUACGUUAUAACGUCGUUUACUGUUUCAAGCUGAUUAUUUCAAUUAUUGAUGACCUAGGUAAUUAAUCUUAAUCUUGAGCUAACUAUAAACUCCUAUUCACACAAGAUUAUCCUUAGAUCUGCAUAGAUAAGAGUAGCUCUUUAGCGCUAGCCUAAUAAGUCUCUCAUUUCAGAGGUAAGAUCGAGUGGAUAGCUGGGGACAUAGGGUGCAAGAUGAAAUUCACUCAUACCCGCUUUAGGGUUAGCAGAUAAGUUGUUCACUUAGGGACUGAAUCCAAGUCUUGAACAAGGUGCCCUACUCUCUCAUUGGCUCGAGAGGGUUUCGGUUUAUAGGUUGGACCUUAAACCAAUUGUUCAUUAGUGGAUUUUAGUGGGACUUCAGAAGCAAGAUGUAGUCUCGGAGAUAAAACAAUAUUUUAAUCCAACCAAGCUUACGAACAACCUAUGAAGGAUUUGUUGGAAUUUAUGUCCUAAAACUCAUAGAUUGUAAGUAUAAUCCAUUGAUCGUUAUUAAUAAAUUGUUAUUAUUGUAAUAAUUGUUAUUGAUUAAAUUAUUAGUUUUGUCUUAAUAAUCCAAAUUCAAUAAACUAACAUCCUUAGUUGUUUAAUGAGUCUUGAACAGUAUAUAGAGACAUAUAGAGAUUAAUGUUCAAGAUCAACUUAAAGGGUCUAUAGUAUAGGGAUAAGGUUGGGUACCUUAUCCUGGUAACACUAUUAAUACGGCUCACGUUGUAUUUGAUACAAACACAAUGAUCCAACGCGUUCAUGUAGUUGACAUGCAAGUGAGGGUAUCCUAUGCAAUGAGUUUGCAUAAAACCGAACCGCAAAAUAGUAAUCACUAGAUGUAACUUCGUUAACUAGUUAGGUUUCUAUUUCACUAGGAUGGCCUAGGUAAUUUAGUCUUAAUCCUGAGUGUAUUAUGAAUUCCUACUUGCAAGGGAUUGUCCCUUGAUUUGUACGGGUGAGAGUGGCCAGAUCGCUGACUCAAUAUGCUUAUCAUUUUGGGGACAAUACGGAGUGGGGAGUUGGGAACAUAAUUACACAAGAUGGAAUUCACUCCUUCCCUACUUUAGGAUAAGUAGAUGAGUGUUUUCUUAAAUGGUGUCUUCAGGUCUUCAACAAAGGGUCAUACCCUCUCUAUGACACGAAAGGGGUUUCUGUUAUUGGUAGGACCAUAAACAGGUUGUUCAUUGGAGGAGGACUGGUAUUUAAUGAUUAGAGACAACCUAGGGGUAAAACGGUAAAUUGACCCAACUGGUGUUACGAACACUCGUGAGAAUGACUAACUUACUGUUAUUGGUCUAUAUCUGUGGACACAAAAAUAUGUCUAAAGUGAGAAUAGUUCAGUUGUGUGUCUUUAGUGGAGUGUACACACAGUUAAUGAAUAUUGAUUAAUGAGGUUAAUGAGUUUAGCCAAUUAAUCUCAGUUCGCUCUGAUCUGUAGGUCCAUUAGGUCCCCUUCCUAACUCGUAAAGGGUAAUGAGAUUUAUUAAUAUUCGUUGUAAUUUGAAAUGUUUAAAAUUACUUUGAGAAUUAGUUUAAUGUACUAUACAUUAUAACAUAAAGUUUGUGAUAUAAGAUAUUUAAUUUAGUUAUUAAUUAAUUGGAGAAUUAAUUAAUAAUUUAUUUUUAUUUAAUUAAAUUUAAUUUAAUUAAAUCUAUAAGAUAUUGCAGAGAUAUUCAUUCAAAUAAGAUUUGAAUGAAAUAUUAAUUAAAUAUGAUUUAAUUAAUUAUAUUAAUAUAAAAUAUAAGAUAUUGGAAACAUAUUCAUUCAAAUAAGAUUUGAUUGAAAUAUUAGUUAAAUAUGAUUUAAUUAAAACUAAUUGAUUAAUUAAUUAGUAGAUUUGAUAAUAGAAUCUCAUGAUGCUCUCAUACUCUUUUUCCUAUUACAAGAACAAAAUAGAGUUAUAAUUAAUAUUUAGAAGAAAACGGUUUUCUUUAAACCAAAUUCAUCAAGAAAAAAGUCAAGGUUUUUUCUCUCUGCAAAAAGAAAAGAGUGUCUCUCAAAUAUCUUUAAACUUUUUCCCAUCCGAGUGAUAGAACUAAGUCAUGCACAGCGGAAAAAAAAUCGAAUUUCUACCCUAAUUGCCACAAUUAACAUGUAACCAUAAACUAAUUAAAUUAGGGUUUUAAGAAAUAUUAUCUUUGAAGCUUUCAAAAGGUUUGAUAUCUUCUUACCAAUUCUAACCGAGACCACCACUAGUACUCAACUGCUAUCCUCUAGACAAAGAACCGGGUUGUGGGACCCAAUUUUGGUGUAGAAAGUAAUGGAGAUAAAAUGAGAUUGGAAGGUUUCUUUUUUCUUUUGUUGAGAUGAUGAAAAUGAUAAAAGAGGCAAAAGUUCUUCAACAUUUGAAAACACCUCUAUUUAUAACCUAAUUACAUGCAAAAAUGCAUGCAAUUCAUUUGCCAAAUCUCAACACCUAAUGUUCCACUAACAAUUAGUGGAACUUAGUGGGCUAGGUGUCUAUAUCUCAUAUAGCCACAUAUCCCACUAAGAGUUAGUGGGAUUAUCCAACAAAAUGUUGGAUUUUCCCACUAACUUAGUCCAAGGGUAAAAUGGUCAUUAGAUAUUUCUAGUCAAAAGUCAAUAUUUUGACUUUUUACCAUUUUGUCCGUCUUGACUAAUUCCAACCUCCCGAGCAUGAAUCCGCAUUCAUUUUUCCAAAAUUCAAAUCACAUUUGAAUAUAAGGCCGGUCAAAGUUUGACUUUUCAAAGUCAAAAGUCAACAUUUUGACUUUUUACUAUUUUUGACCAAUUCCAUCAAUUCCGAGCUUCUUAGUAUGAAUCCGCAUUCAUACUUAUAGUAUGUAAAACAUAAAAGCUCUAUUUCUAAUUAGAAGACCGACGACUAUAUCACUAUAUUUGUCGGUUUCCCUUUCUUCUCCCAAUUCGAACAAUUCGACUUAUUUCAUCACACUGUUCUAAGUUUAAUCCAUAUGAGCUAGCAGAGGAACCUAAUGGACCUAUAGAUCAUGGGCUCCAACGAUUCAAGAUUAACUAGCUAAACUCUUUUAAACCGAGUUAAUCAACAUUCGUUAACUAACGGGUCAUUCCACUAAAGUCCCGUAGUUGCACUCCCCUCACUAUAGAUAUAUUUGUGUCCAUUUGAUAAAACCAUAAUCAGUAAGUUAAUCCUUCACAGGUUGCUCGUAACCUUGGCUGGGUCAAAAUACCGUUUUACCCCCAAGAUUACAUCUUGCUCCUUAAGUCCCACUAAUCCACUAUUGAACAAUUGGUUUAAGGUUCAACCUAUAAACUUAAUCCCUCUCGGGCCAAUGAGAGGGUGGGGCCCCUUGUUCAAGACUUGGAUUCAGUGCUUAAGAGAACAACCUAUCUACUAACCCUAAAGCGGGUAGGAGUGAAUUCCAUCUUGUACCCUAUGUUCCCAGCUAUCCACCCGAUCUUACCCCUGAAAUGGGAGGCUUAUUGGGCCAACGCUGAUGAGCUGCCCUCACCUAUGCAGAUCUAAGGAUAAUCUCGUGUGAACAGGAGUUCAUAGUUAACUCAGGAUUAAGACUAAGUUACCUAGGUCAUCAAUAAUUGAGAUAGUCAGUUUUAAACAGUAAACGGUGUUAUAACGUAAAAAAGACUAAUUCAUGGUUCAGUCUUAUGUAAACAUUUUACAUAGGAUGCCCCCACUUUCAUGUCUCUACAUGAACGAUUAGGAUCACCUCGUUUGUACUACAAAGUGGGCCGCAUCCAUAGUUUCUCUAAAUAAGGCGCCCAACCUUUAUUUCAUAUACUAUAGACUAUUUAGGCUAUAUACUCGAACUUGAUCCACGUUUAUGUUUACACAUAAAGUUCAAGUUUAUUCAAAAAUAGCCUUGGAACUUGAUUUAUUGGAUUUAAGAUUAUAAUAUUUAAUUUCUCAAUAAACAACUUUAUUGAACAGAAUAUGAUUUACAAACUACGAGUUUUAGGACAAAAAAUUCCAACACCCAGUUGGUUCCCACAAAACAAUCUCAUCCCAGAGGAUAGGAAGGUCUACGACGGGUGGUGUCCCCAAUUUGAUGAUUUGUAGAUUCAGAGACGUCAUUGAAGUAAGUUCUCUGUAUUCUUUAAUUUAAAAGCAUGCUUAGUGUUUAUUUAGAAUUUUGCUUCUAAAAUUUCGCCAAUGUACUGACAUUUUAAGAUUUGCAAAUUAAUUUGAGCAAUGGUUCUUUAAAUUCUUCUGCUGCCAUAGGUUUUUAUCCCUUCAGGAUUAACUUACUGAUCAUGGUUAUAUUAGAUGGACAAAAAUAUAUUUAUAGUGAGGAGAGUGCAACUACGAGACUUUAGUGAAAUGACCCGUCAGUUAACAAAUAUUGAUUAGCUUAGUCUAAAAGGGUUUAGCCAGUUAAUCUUAGAUCGUUAGAGUCUAUGAUCUAUAGAUCCAUUAGGUUCUCCUGCUAGCUCAUAUGAAAUAAACUUAGAAUAUUAUGAUGGAUUGAUUCAAAUUGUUUGAAUUAGGUGAUGAGAGAGAAAUCGACAAGUAUAUGUGAUAUAGACGUUCGUUUAGAGAUAGAGCUUUAUGUUAAAUAUGAUUUAAAUAUAAAAAAUUAUGAAUACAGAUUCAUACUCGAAAGCUCGAAAACAAUAAAAUUUGUCAAAGUUGUAAAAAGUCAAAAUUUUGACUUUUGAAUUUUAAAAGUCAAACUUUGACGAGUUAUAUAUUCAAAUGUGAUUUAAAUUUUGAGAAAAUGAAUUCGGAUUCAUGCUCGGGAAGUCAAAAUUAGAAAAGAAGUUCAAAAUGGUAAAAAGUCAAAAUGUUGACUUGCCCUCUCAUGUAGUUGGCGAUUGACACUAAGCCAAGCGAUAAAUAUAGCUUAACUAAUGCGACAAUAAUUAUAAGCUAAACUCCUUAUCAAGAACUUAUAAAAAAUUUAACUACUAAUAACACAUCGACAAGUGAGAAGUUAAGAAAUGAAGAAUUGAAAAGGUAUAAACAUGUAUUAUAUGUAAAGAAUGUAGGUCUUAGGCCAUUGUACAAUAUAAACAACUUAUAUUACAAAAAAAUUGUAAAAAUGAAAAGAGAAAAAAGUGGAAAAACAUUACAUGACAAUGGAAGUAUGGAUUCUUCCCUUCCUCAAAGCCAAUCUUUCGCUUCUACAACUAAUCGAAGAAGAAGAAGAAACAUUUACAGGCGGUGGAAAGCCUUUCCACCGCUCUCUCUAGAACCUUUGGCCUAUUUCGGGCGUCUUGCACCCAUUCAAGCACUUUCUUGUAGGUUGACGAAGAUGACUUUAUAUAAGCAACAUUUGGGAGGGACAGUUCUAUCUUUUGAACUUGUUAGCGACAUCCGUCGAAAAAUGUCUGUCGUACGUCACAUCACCUCCAACUAUCGCUCUUGUGUUCUAGUAACCAUUCUUUACAUGAUAACUUUGUUCGUCGCCUGUAGACAUUAAUUGUCGAAGAGUUCCUGGUUGUAGUCCUUGCGCGAAAUACUUCCUGCGAUUCACUGGUUUCUUUCAUUGUUCAUUAUCAUGCGUUUAGAAAUUAAAAUAAUGUGAAACGAGUAUAAUACUUAUGUAAAGUGUAUUUCCAAGUACUUAUGCGUUUACAACACAAGUUACACAUUCUACUUAUCUUCUUAUGCCUUUUAACCUCAUUAUUCUAAUAAAAUGAGCUAUAAUAAUGAAUAUUUAUACACGUUAUUAGCCCUCAACCAUGCACACGUAGCCAACCCCAUCCACAAUGUCAUUGGGCACCGUUAGACUGUUCUUGGGCUGCUUUCAUGCUCUAUAUAGUAAAUGUUUUCUUUGAAUAUCUUUUCUAGCUGGAAUAUCUGUGAAACUUUCCUCAAUAGCGAAAGUGUUUUAUGUUUGAAUUCCUGAAUAGUUAAUAAGUGGUUCAAAGUCUUGAUAGGUGGAGAAGGUAUUAUGUUAUUGAUAGUAUUCCUCCGUUGGUACUUCUUGUGUAAAAUACGUGUUACUAAAAUAUUAUCUAAAGGAAGUUAGCUAACAACUGUUCUUAUCGUUUACUAUUGCAAUGAUUGUAUAUGAGAGGGGGUGAGACCCAAUUGAGAGACACUGAUGGAAAUCCCAAAUAACUCGUAUGACACUGGUUGAGUGCGGAUCCUAAGUCCAAAUGAGGGGAGGAUUGUUGAUCUAGACAAGGGUGUAAUGGGACGUGCAGGAAACAAGAAGCCCAAGACUAAGAGAGAUGAAUGUGAUGAGCCACUGGUAGCAAUCCUAGGCAACUCGUGUAAUGCUAGUUGAGUGCGGAUCCCAGGACCAGGUGAAAGGAGAGUUCCAAUUCUCGGUAACAAGUACAAAUUGUGAUGCAAUUUAAACUCGUGAAGCUUAUGGCAGUUGGGAUAUUAAUGGUCAUAUUGAUUGGAGACUAUAAUGUGGUUAAAUUGCUAAACAAUCUAAGUUAUAGUGCAGAUGGCACUUGUAGUAGUAUUGGUUGUAUUGUUUAUGGACAAUAAUGUGCUUAAAUUGCAAGGCGAUCUAAGUGCGUAGUGUUCGUGGCACUAAUUUUACUAAUGGUUGAGUGCUUUGUUGCAUUAUGAGAUGAGAUUUAUAUAUUAUUGUUGAACCGUAGUAUUAUUGUUUCUGUGGUGUUUACCCAAAGAAGGUUUUUCUCAAACUCAUCACUCACUAAGUUCGUUUGACUUACGUUUUAAGUGUUUCCCUCCCUAGGUUGUUAAGCGUCAAAGCCAAGCGAAAGGUGGAUAUCAGGCAUUGUAGCCUAGUUAAGGAGGGAAAACAAAGUAACUUUGUAGUCUUGUGGGGCAUGAUAAUCGUUGUAGAUACCGUAUUUUCUCCUAUAUUUAUUUAUUAUAAAAGAAAAAAGAAAAAGAAAAAGAAAUUAAAUUUGAAUUUGAAUUUGAAUUUGAAUCUUAAAUUUAUAUUUUAAAAAAACAAUAAUAAUAAUAAUAAAUACAUUUAAAAAUAAAUAAUAAAAAUAAAAAUAAAAGGUUUGAUUUCCUUCCUAUUUUUUCUCAACCAUCCCUUUUUCUUCGUCAUCACUCUCCCACUUUCUCUCACUCUAUCACUUUCUCCCACUCCCCCACUUUCUUCCUAUUUCUCUGUAGUCUGCACUCCAUCUCGUGAUCUAAAAAAAACAAUGGAGCUUGCCCUAUAAAAAGGAAAGAGGAAAAAAGAAAGAGGGAUGAUCUUUUUUUUUUAUUACUGGAGGAUUUAGAAAGAGGUGAAGAGUGAAAGAAGAUCAAAAGAAUAACCUUUGGCAUUUAAGGGCAGACUUGCUGGUAAGUUUUUUUUCUUUUUCCUCUUUUUAUUCUUAUUCUGGUUUAAUGAUUUUUUUUUUCUUGUUUGAUAUACUGCUUUUAAUUAUGAACUAUCGUGUUCAUCAUUUUACCAUCAUUUGACAUGUUAAUUUUAUUAUUUGUAUCUUUUUUUAAUACUGAGCAUUCUACCUUCCAUUAUAUAUUAAAUUUUUUAUUUUUUAUUUUUAAAUAUUGAGCAUUCUGUUCUGUGUUAAUUUCUUUUUAAUUGUUGGGUAUCCAUUCUGUGUUAAUUUUUAAAUAUUGAGCAUUCUGUUAUGUGUUAAUUUUCUUUUAUUAUUGGGCAUCCAUUCUGUGUUAAUUUUCUUUUAUUAUUGGGCAUCCAUUCUGUGUUAAUUUUCUUUUAUUACUGGGCAUCCAUUCUGUGUUAAUUUCUUUUUAAUUAAUUAGCAUCAUAUAUUUGUAUUUGGAUACUCAUUCUUCAUUGACACCCAUUUUACCAUUUUACAGUUAAUUACUUAUAUCCAUAUGGCAUGCCUUAAUAAUUAUGCAUAAUUAAUCAAUUAUGCAUAAUUAAUCAAUUAUGCAUAAUUAAUCAAUUAGCCUUUUGUAUUUGGCAAUACUCAUUCUUCAUUGGCAUCCAUUUUACAGUUUUUGUUAAUUACUUUAUCCAUGUAUCCAUAUGGCAUACUCCGUUAAUAAUUACUGUUAUCCAUAUAUUAUCCAUGUUAAUAAUUAUGCAUGAUAUAAUUAAUAUUUGGCAACAACCAUUUUUCAUUUGGCCUAUUAAUUAAUUAGCAACUUGUAUGUGACAUUUUCACUCCCUCAUUCUAAUUAUUUGCAUGAUGUAUUAAUUAAUCAAUAUGCAUAUGUGGCUAUAAUUAUUUGAUAUUUAUUUUGGUGUGAUUAUUUAUUCGCAAUAUUAUUUAUUUGCAUAUUGGGCCAAACCUACUUUAGCAUUCAACUGUUAAUUAUUAUUUGAUAUCCAUUUGGCCUCGUUUAAUUAUGCAUUAAUCAAUUAUUUUGCAUCCUGCAUUAAUCAAUUAUUUUGCAUCAUUUUGAAUUAAUUAAUUAUGUUGCAUGUGUUGUAUUAAUUAAUUAUCUUGCAUCCUACAUUAAUAUCUUUUACAUUUUGCAUAUAUUAUCAAUGUAUUUAUUUUAUCUCAGCAUAUUACACCUAAGUAUUUUUCAAAUUUCAUAAUGUUUUGUCAUUGUUAUUAUUUUUUUUAUAAUAAUGUAAAUUGGAGAAAAAGUAUUGUUUUUUAUGGAUUUUAUAAUUUAAAAUCCAUAAAUACAUGAAAUUUUUCUGUUUGAAAUUUAAUUAAUAGAUUAUUUUUUUUAAAUUAACACAUUUCAUAUUUUAAAUGAGACUGAGUAGUAUUUUCUAUGAAUUUAUUAAUUCUAGAUAUAUGAAAUUUUUCAUUAAGCAGCUAUGAUAGAGAUUAAAAUAUCAAGUGUUGGUAUCUUAAUAUUCUUAAGGUGAAUAAAAAUAUUUUAAAACAAAAAUAAACUUAAUUUUUCUAAUGGCUCCUAUGCCACUCAUAAUCAUCAAUUCAUGCUUAGGUUUUACUUUCUUCGAUAUAAAUUGAUAAACAUGGGACAUUUAAACAAAACCUAAAUAAAAAUUUUAUUUUGUGAACCUCUAUAAUUUAAUUUAAAAGAUAAAAUUGGGUAACCAUUUUUUUGGGUGUUGUAGGGUGCUAACACCUUCCCUACACAUAACUGACUCCCGAACUUAAAUCUCUGAAUGUACGCAGACCAUUUUUUUUUCUUUCUUUUUUUUGGGUGACCAAUCACACCUUAAUAUGAUUGGUGGCGACUCCAAAAUUUUUUAUUAAAAUAAAAUAAACGGGGAGGUCGGCCGCUCCGCGUAGCGAUCACGUCGCGACAAUCGUGUCAUCUUAUCUUGCAUCUAAGGAGUCAAUUGAUAAGAUUAUCGCUCCUUAACACCCAAACCUAGGGUAAAUAGGGAAGCGAGGCUCGAAAAUCUCAAAAAGUUGAGGCAGAGUAAGGAAGUCUUGGAGAUUGUCUUUUCACCCAAGACUGAGGAGUUAAUAAGGUAAGGAAAGGAAAGAGAAGCAAAUUGAAGUGGCAAAGAAGGGAAACUGGUAGUAACUAAAGUGGAGGCCAAGUAUUAGUACCAAGAAAGUUCCAAGAGUUGUAAUUUUAAUAUUCAAACCAUGUAAAAGUGUUAAGUCAACAAAGAGAAUAUUUUCUUGUACUCAUUUCAAUGUACUUUAUGUUUCUAUCGUGUAAAUGGACAAACGUAAAAGAGAACGCAGUAUCAAGGAUAGGUUAGUGAAAAUUUAAUUUGUAAUCCACUAUCCCUUGACGAACAAAGUUUGGCGUUUAAGUUAUGCAUUAACAGAUAAGUUAUUCUGCUUACUAGGUGUUUAGCGCAUUACCUCGCAAGAAGUACACAAUAAAGGUUUAGGCGGCAUGUUCUCCAUUUGGUUGUGCAAUGUGACAUUUGGGGUGGGACGUGACAAAAAAUAAGGAAACUUUUGGAAAAUUUCUUAAGUAUUUUAAUGGGCCACGUGUACAGAUUAAGCUAAGCAUGAUUAAGUUUAAAACAAUUAUACAAACUUCAAAGUAAUGCAAAGCUCAUAUAAAACAUCUUUCUGAAACAUAGAACUUUAAUCUCUUUCUCUCUCUUGCUAUAUCGUAAAUCUUUAUAUAUCAAUCGAGACGAAGAAACUAUGCAUGGAAGCCCUAUCUCAUGAUAAGAUACUUAUAGGACGAAUGACCUAGGCAUCAAUAGUGCUCUAUCUCGUAGAUAGCUAGGAGAUGGAAAAGUUAGGCAUUUGAAGAGGUUCUCAUCUCAAACCUAGUCAUAAAUGGUAGAAGAGCUAAGUAUAUAUUGAAUACCCUCACCAUAGGACCUCUGUGCACAUGAACUAUAUUACCCCCAUGGGGUUGCUAUAUGUAUCUCAUAAUCAUCUCAGUAUAGACUUAAACACAUAAAUCACAUACUUAUAGAAAUCUCUUCAUAAGCUUUAAAUCAUGCUAAAACUUUCAUAUUAAAAAAGUUUUGCUUGUAAAACACAUUUAACUUCAAUAGUGUUUCAUAUAAACAUACUUUUGAUAACAACUCAAGUUUAAACAUCACUUACAUACUAAGAAUUACUUUCUCAAACUUAUGUAUUUAAACAUACCUUUUUCCUCAAGCUCAAGCAAACAAUUUUACUUUUGAAAAGCAUGUUAUAAAACAAUUAACUUAAAUAAGAUAGAACAUAUUUCUAAAACAUUUUAAUGUCACUCACAAUACUCGAUUAGCCUCCCAGCCUAUAACAUUUCUCCAUAAUUUCUUGUCCUUAUGCGAAGAACGACUCCUUUCACCCUGAUGCUCGACCGACUACAACAAAAACCUGGAACACUUAAAACUUCAGCUUUAAAUUCAAAGAAUUGAGUUUUGUAGCCUUCAUAAACUUAGUACUACUCAGAAUCCUUCAAAAACUUACCUUCAAGUGUUCUUUAUCUUCAAAUGCAACCUUCCCUUAAUAAAUUUUGUCUGAUAGUCUCACACUAGGAAAUAGACUCACAAAGAAAGCUUUUCCAACUUGAAUCACUCAAUUUGCACGAGAAAAUUGAAAGAAAUUUAAUUCUGAAGUGAGCCUAUUUAUAGAGUUGCCUAGAAAGUAGACUUAGCCACCUUCUGCUUGCAGGAACCACCACUUUCCAUGCUAAAGACAUUUGGAAACCACUUUAACCGACUACCCAAAACGCCUAGAAGCACUUAUAAACACCUAACCUUCACUUUUUCCUCGCCAAGUGCAGUACCUCCUCGCCAAACUAACCUCUAAUCACCUUGGCCGAAAACCUCUUCUUGCCUAAGCUUGCUUGCUCGCAUAGCAUAAACUAACCUCAUAACUUCUUUAAAUGUUUAGCCAAAACAUAAAGACACCUCCAGCAAGCUUCCUUGCCUAGCACUAAAUGCCUAGGACAUUAUUGUAGAGGUUCUCUCCUAGCAACUUUCAUACGCUUGCCGCCUAUUUUGGAAUAAUGCUUGAGAUAACCUCUUCAGAGGUUCUUGACACUCCAUCUUGCCUAAGCCAAUACCCAAUACCCAACGCCUAUGCCUUCUUCCAAAAUGUCUAACUCUUUAUUCAAAGCACCUAACUCUUUGCUACAAUAACCUCUCAAUAGUUAGCCAACUUUCAACCAACAAUAAACUUCUCUCCUUCCCAUUUUGGCCGCCAACUAUCAACUUCCAUACUUAACCAUAAUUUCUCUUCUCUUGUCCAACUAACAAACAACAACAAAUAACUUAAUUUCUUAACACCUAACAUUUUUAGGGAGUUUCAAGAACUAGAGUUCACACCACGCAGCUUUAUCAUGGCAUUCCUCGGUGUCCUACCACAUCAUAUUUCUUGAUGUCAUCUGUAUUGGAUUCAUAAAGACCAAGCUUGCUGGAAUUUCAUGAUAGUUUAUUUUCAUGUAUUCUCUCUUUCAAGUCCAUGUUAUCAGUACUAACUCGCUUUUGGUGAUCUUUCUUUUGUAGAACGAUGGUUUACUUCACAAAACAAUUCUUGUCUGGAACUAGACACCUUGUAAUACUUUCUAAUAAAAAUAAAUCAAUAGAAGAUGGACUUAUUCUCCUUGUGGAGAAGCCAUCGAUUGCCUCUUUUUAAGAUUAUUGGCCAAGCUUAGACAACAACUUCAUUAUGCCAAAAUUAUUUGUGGAGACACCUUCGUCACAGAGAAAAAAUGCACGGGUCUUACAAUCCUCCAUCCAUGAUAAGGCUUCCAAAAGAGUCUCACCCUCGCAUAUCGUAUAAUUGAAGGCCAAACAUGAUAGGGUGCUGUGAGUAACGUCCCUAGAGAGUUCUACUUUACUAACUUCUAUUGAGAGUGGCUAAAGCUUGUAGUUGGUUGAAAUGGAUAACUUCUCUACAAUGCUCAUUUCUUUGGCACCGUAACAACUUCUUUGUACACUUAUGAUUGUAAUAGCGAGCUGGUUUGAGCAUUUUGUGAAGCUUGGUGUCCUUCGACUAAUACUAUGAAACCCCAAAACUUCUUAAACCCUUGGAAGCUAUUAAGGAUAAGGAGAAAAUGGAAUUUAGAGGAAAAUAAAUUUAAACUACUUAGAAAGAUUAAAAGUUAAGACAUAGGUUUGAAAAAAAAUCGACAAAAUUUGGCUAAGUGUCAAGAAGAGACACAUUAGGUUUUUGGAGGUUGUAUGGGCAGAAAAGGGGAGCAAAUAACCUCUAAAUAAGGUUAGUUAGGUAGCGAGAUGAGGCUUGAAAACCUCUAAGCAAAGGUGUUUAGUGAUGGUUAGGUGUUUGGGACAUGGGCUUGGCGGCAAAGCCAUGGAAAUAACCUUCAAAGAAGUGUUAUUAAGUGAGGAAGGCUGCUUAUGAAGGUUAGUUAUGCGAGGAAGGCUUGUCUAUGCCAGAAAGGACACACGAGGAAUGCUUGCAACAAUAAUGAUUAAGAGGUUAGUAUAGGGCUUGAGGCUAGGCAUUUCAACUUUAACGUUUUAGUUGGCCAGCCAAGGCUUGGGGAGAUGGACAUUGAGGUUAGCAUGCGAUUAGCUAGGGGACCAAGCUUAGGCUUCAAGAGCUUAUACGGCCAAGACUAUGUGACAAGACCAUAAAGGUUAGCCAUAUGAGUGGUUGUGUCUAUUUUGGACUUAAUAAUUUCAUUUGUGUAUAUUACAAUAGCAAUACGUCACAAAGUCAAGUCAUUGCAUGUAAUGCACUAACUUUAACUCUUAGUAUCACAUGUUUCAAUUCUAGGUGAUGAGUCAUAGGGUCUGAUGAAGGUUGUUGAUGAACGAAACCAUGAAAUUGCAGCUUUAAGAGAGUAGAUGAAGACUCGUGAAACUUCUAAAUCGAGUCAAACUCUCGUUGUCAAAGCUAGUGACAAAGGGAAGAAUGUGGUGCAAGAAAAUCAACCACAAAAGCAAUUGGCUUCUGUGGCUUCCCUCUCAGUUCAGCAAUUACAAGAUAUGAUUGUGAACUCCAUCAAAGCUAAGAAUGGGGGCUCAUCUCAGACUUCUUUCAUAUACUCUAAGUCGUACAUCAAAAGCAUCAUUAACUUGAGAAUGCCUCUUGGGUACCAACCUACAAAAUUCCAGUAAUUUGAUGGAAAGGGCAAUCUAAAGCAGAACAUCACCCAAUUCGUCGAAACAUGCAAGAAUGUAGGAUCAAGAGGAGAUCAACUAGGCAGACAGUUUGUUUGAAGCUUGAAAGGAAGUGCUUUUGAGUGGUAUACUAUUUGGAGCCAAAAAGUAUUGACAAUUUGGAAAAAUUGGAAAAGAAGUUUCUCAAUCACCUCUACAGCACCAGGUGUACUGUAAACAUGAUGGAGCUUACAAACACGAAGAAAGGGAGAGUCAGUCAUCGAUUACAUCAAUUGAUAGAGAGCGCUAAGUCUUCACUAUAAAGAUUGACUCACUGAACUAUUGACUGUAGAAAUGUGCACCCAAGCCAUGCACUAGGGACUCGUCUACAUUUUGUAAGUAAUAUAGCCCCGCACAUUUGAAGAACUGACAACUCAGGCUCAUGAUAUGGAGUUGAUCAUCACCAGUAGAAGAACUAACGAUUUUCCUUUUCCUAAAGUAAAGAAAGACAAGAAAGAGAUGAAGGGUGUCAAAAAGAUAGUGAAGAGCAUCGUGAAAUAAUCUAUGGUCAUAAACACGACUCCGGUGAAGUUCUUCAAAAGAAAGGAAGCGAGAGUUAAGAAGAAGGAUGAUGAAAGCAAGAGGCGAUGUCUGACUUUAAAAGAAAGAUAGGAAAAACUUUACCCAUUUUAUGAUUCAGAUGUCGCAGACAUGCUAGAGCAACUACUGGAGAAGCAGCUGAUCUAGCUGUCAAAAUGUAAGAGAACUGAGCAAGCAGGAAAGGUAGAUGAUCCCAACUAUUGCAAGUAUCAUCAAGGCAUCAGUCACUAGUAGAGAUAUAUUUUGUGCUGAAGAAGCUAAUUCUAAGGUUGGCUCGUGAGAAAAAGGUCGAGCUAGGCUUGGAGGAAGUAGCUCAAACAAACCAUGUUGCAGUGACGAUAAUGUCAGAGGCUCCUCUGUCAAGAUUGAUCUUUUAGCAAAGGAAAAGCUUGGUCCAGUUCAGGACCUUUGAGCCUGUAGUUUUCCAAUUGUAUUAGAAAGUCUCAUCUGAGGAUCCUUAAGGAGAGGCAAAAUCAAUCAAAGAACACGAUGAAGGGUGGAGAGUUAUGACCCGCUGAAAGAAAAGUUAGUUGACUCUUACCCUAAAAGAGUUUCGCUCCUACCAAAAUUAUAGAAGAGGGAAUAAGGCUCAAAAGAAUAAGAAAAAGAAGAAGAUUCAGAAGCUUAAGCUCAUGAAGAGAAAUACAUGGAUUUCUCUCGACCUCAGCGCUUAGUAACCUUGGUAGACUUCCUUCCAAAAAGCUUCAUUUGUGAUCAUCAAGAUGAAGACCCAAAAGUCAAUGCGUGUCAUGCUAUCAGCACAACAAAGGAAGAAAGAAUCCCUUCAAGAUCAUAAGAAGAUGAAGGAGUGUCAUAAGACCAAUCGAGAUUCAAUAUGCAGGGUCUGUUAUCACUUCAUCAAGAGACCAAAAUCAUUCUAAUUGAUGCAUUGUUAACUUCAAGAGCAUCAAGUUUGAGUGUGCUAACUGCUACAUACGAGAGUGCUCCUUAUUGCAUGUCUAUAGACUUCUCGGAUCAGAAUUUGUUGUUGUGAUCUAAACCUUCAUAAUAGACUCUGUAUGUUUCUGGAUAUGUUCGAGAAUAGAGGUCGACCAAAUUCUCAUCAAUAACGAAUCAGCUGUCAACAUAAUGUGUCGACUAUGAGGCAAUUAGGCAUCUUGAUGGACGAUCUCUCAAAUAGUAAGCUGGUAAUUUAAGGUUUCAACCAGGUCAGCCAAAGAGCAAUAGGCAUGAUAUGCUUAGAACUCAUAAUUGGCGACAUAAAGGCCAGUGCAUUAUUUCAUGUCAUAGACUCAAGGACCACUUACAAGUUGUUACUAGGUUGUCCUUAGAUUCAUGGAAAUGGAGUAGUAACUUUGACACUGCAUUAGUGCUUCAAAUUUUAUCAAGACGGUAUAAAGAAAGUUAAACCUGACUCUAACCCGUUCUCAAAGGUUGAGCAUCACUUUAAAUGCAAAGUUUUAUUUGAAGAAUGAAAUUAUCUCAAAAGCUUUGCCUGUAGAAACCCCUUAGAAAAAGAGAAGAUAAUUCACAACUGAAAUCACUUGCAAGCAGGGAACCACAUGAAAGUACAUAAACCUUUAACUCUGGAAAGGGUGAAGCAUACACUAGUAAGACAAAGAGUAUGAUCUUGAAGGAUGAAAAGGCUUCAAACCCACCGAUUUUACGUUAUGUCAAAAAGGCUUAGGGUUUAGGGUUCGUAGAGUCUCCAAAAGGCUUGAAUGUUGGUGACAUUGAAGUCUUAAAAGAAAGCUUCACUACACCACUAACUAAGAUAAUGAAGCAGGAAAUAAAGAUAGACUGACAGAAGCAAACUUGUCCCAAAGACAAACAAAAGAUGAAUUCGACCCCAAGGCUUACAAACUAAUUGCAAAAGUUGGUUAUGACUUCACAACUCACACCGAGUUCAAAAGCAUGAAAAUUCAUGACCGAUCUGAGCUCUCCUCAACUCAAAAGAAGCUUUUACGGAAAGGACAUGUUAUACCCGUGUCAAGAAAAGGACUUGGAUAUAAGUCACUAGAGCCAAUCCAUAUAACUAGAAAGGGGAAGGAAAUAGUGGUUGAUAACAAUCAUAUAACUAUAUAGGAGGUUGACAGUAUGGAACAAAAAGGAGGCGAUAAUCAGAGAACCUCAGUAUUUAACUGAAUUAGACCAUUUGUCGCAUGUCCCCUAGUAUUUAAAAGACUAAGCAUUACGGAGGUAGAAAGAGAACAUCACUAGUCAGUGUUGAGCCUUAAAUGACAUUUGGCCUUUUGAAGGCUAACUAUAACCUCUAUAAAGGAGAAAAGCACAUUAGCCUUUGAAACGCUAGGUGUGUCUAAAAAGAAAAAUGUACAAGCACUCCAUGCUCCAAUUUUUAAUCGUCUUAGGGAUGGAGGCUCACAUGUCAACAUUGGUUCAAACAUAGAUACAAAAAAGAAAUAAUCAACUUCUCGUGCGCCAGUUUGGCACCGAAUUAAGGAUAAAGACGUUGAGAAUUACCAUGGUAAAGAGUUUCCUUGCAAGGCAAAGGGAGAGGGAGAAAUUCAUAGCAAUGUUCCUUCUCGAAUGAAAAGAAAAUCCUUUCUUACUCUCAAUACAAGUCAAGGUUCAUUGAAAGUGAAAAGGCAUAAUGUUAUACUAACUAAUCCUUAAAAGGAAAGCUCAGAACAAGAAGAAGGUGAAACCUCAUGUCAUCACAUCACCAUUAUUAAGAAAUCCGAGAUUGAAACUUCAGAAGAUGACGUGGAAGAUGUCCCAUAAAGUUUAGAGGAUGGUGGCCAAUCUACCGUAGAUGAGCUAAAAGAGGUGAACCUUGGUACAUUAGAGGAACCACACCCAACUUUCAUUAGUGCAUCUCUCUCUAACGGGAGGAGAUAAGUACAUGAGUUUGCUCACCAAAUAUAGGAACAUCUUUGUUUGAUCGUACCAGGAGAUGCCAGAACUUGAUCCAAAACUAACAGUCCAUCAUCUCAUAAUUAAACCAGGGUAUCAGCCAAUUAAACAAGCGCAACAACAUUUUCGAUCAGAGCUUAUUUCCCAAAUCAAGGUGAAAAUCAACAAGUCGAUUGAAGCAGGAUUCAUUUACGAGGUCAAACAUCCAAAGCGGAUAGCAAACAUUGUCCCUGUUAGAAAAAGAACAAACAAUUUUGCAUUUGUGUAGACUUUCGCGACCUGAAUAAUGCAUGCUCUAAAGAUGAUUUUCCUUUGGACAUCACAUAAAUAAUUGUUGAUGCAACUACUGGGCAUAAGGUGUUGUCAUUUAUAGAUGGGUCGUCUAGAUAUAACCAGAUACAAACGGUCCUUUCAAAUGAAGAAAUGACAACUUUCAAGACUCCAAAGAGAAUAUACCAUCAAGGUGAUGCCCUUUGGAUUGAAAAAUGAUGGUGCUAUUUAUUGAUGCACUAUGUAGAAAGUGUUUGAUGAUAUGUUGCAUAAGUAUGUCGAAUUCUAUGUUGAUGACCUUAUGGCUAAAUCUAAGAGACGACAAGACUAUUUGAAGGAUCUAAAAGUUGUGUUUGAUCGCUUGCAAAAAUAACAGCUAAGGAUGAACCCUCUUAAGGGUGCGUUUGAUGUGACUUCAGAAAUUUUUUUGGCUUCAUUAUAAGGCACCGAGGGGAUUGAAAUAGACCAGUCCAAGAUUGAUGUCAUUCAGAAGAUGCUAAGGCCAAUGAGUUUGCAUGAACUUAGAAGUCUCCAAACACGAUUGGUUUACGUCCGAAGGUUCAUCUCUAACCUAGCAAUCGGUAUCAACCUUUUCAAAAGCUGAUGAGAAAAUAAGAAAAUUUUGUAUGGAAUGAGGCUUGUCAUAAUGCCUUUGAUAGCAUAAAGAAAUACUUGCUUAGUCCCAAAGUGUUAGGAGCUCGAGUAUCUGGAAACCCAUUAAAAAUGUACAUUGUUGCAUAAGAAAGGUCCUUAGGACCAUUACUGGCGCAAGAGGAAGAAAAGGGAAAUGAGUGUGCUCUCUACUAUCUAAGCAAGACAUUAAUUGGGGCUAAAGUUAACUAUUCUCCCAUCGAGAUGAUGUGCCUUGCACUUUUCUUUGCCAUCGAUAAGUUGAGGCAUUAUAUGCAAGCCUUCACUGUUCAUCUAGUGGCAAAAGCGGACCCUAUAAAGUAUGUUCUACUAUAUGCAAGCAUUCACUAAUCAUCUAGUGGCAAAAGCAUACCCUAUAAAGUAUGUUCUAUUCAGGCCAAUCAUCUAUGGAUGCUUAGUCAAAUGGGCGAUUCUACUUCAAUAAUAUGACAUUGUCUAUAUUCUCCAAAAGCCUAUAAAAGGACAAGUGCUAGCAGGCUUUUUAGCAGAUCACCCAAUUCCUUCAUAUUGGAAGUUAUGUGAAGACCUGCAAGACAAUGAGGUUUUCUUCGCGGAAGUUAUGGAACCUUGGACUAUGUACUUUGAUGGAGCAGCACGAAGAAGUGGUGUGGGGCAGACAUCGUCCUCAUUUCUCCUGAGAAGCAUAUGUUGCCUUAUAGCUUUGCUCUCACUUAACUGUGCUUGAACAAUGUGGCUGAAUAUCAGACCUUAAUAAUUGGCCUUCAAAUGGCAUUGAAAAUCGGAGUAUCAUUCAUAGAAAUUUAUGGUGAUUCAAAAUUCAUAAUCAAUCAACUCUCGCUUUAGUAUGAUGUGAAACAUGAGGACUUAAAACCAUACUUCGCUUAUGCUCAUCAAUUGAGGGAAAUGUUCGAUAGUGUGAUGCUAGAACAUGUCCCUAGAGCAGAAAAUAAGAGAGCAAACACAUUCACGAAUUUAGCCACUGCCUUGAUGAUGCCAGAUGAUGUAACUCUAAACGUACCACUUGGUCAACAAUGGAUUAUGCCUCCAAUUAUUUCUGAAUGUUAGGAAGUGAACUUGACGACAUCUCAUUUGAUUGAUGAAGAAGAUUGGCAUAAUUACCUAUCAUAGAGUAUCUUGAACAUGGAAAGCUUCUAAAGGAUUCUCAUCAUAAAACUGAGGUAUAAAGAAGAGUUGUGUACUUCAUUUAUUACAAGGGAACCUUAUAUCAUCGUUCUCUUUAAGGGCUCUUCCUUCGAUGCCUUGGAAAGGAAGAGCCAAUAAUAGCUCUAAUGGAAGCACAUGCAGGUGUUUGUGGAACACAUCAAUUGGGACCAAAGCUUCAAUUCCAGCUGAGAAGAAUGGACUACUACAGGCCUAAGAUGAUCCAAGAUUCAAUGAACUAUGUAAAGAAGUGCAAGGCUUGUCAAUACCAUGCAAACUUCAUACACCAACCUUCAGAGCACCUGCAUCCAACUGUUGCUUCCUAGCCAUUUGAGGCUUAGGGACUCGAUCUAGUUGACCUCAUUACACCAAAAUCACCAACAGGACAUUUCUAUAUCCUUGCAGCCAACAGACUAUUUUUUAAGGUGGGUUGAGGUCAUUCCCUUAGAGAGGCCAAGAAGGAGAACAUGGAAGACUUUAUUCGAACGCACAAAAUCUAUCAAUAUGGUAUUCCACAAUGAAUCGUGAUGGAUAAUAGAAGGCAAUUCUCCAAUAGCAUGAUAGACAAAUUAUGUGAACAAAUCAAGUUCAAGCAAUACAAGUCAUCCAUGUACAACAAACUGCGAAUGGGCUAGCAAAAGCAUUCAACAAAACGUUGUGAAAUCUUUUGAAGAAAAUUUUCUCCAAGUCAAAGAGGGAUUGGCAAGAAUGGAUCAGUGAGGUAUUGUGGGCUUAUCGAACUACUCAUCGCACUCCUACAAGGGUUACACCAUAUUCACUUGUUUAAGGUGUGGAGGUUGUCCUUUCCCUUGAAGGGAAAAUUUUGUUGCUAAGAAUCGCAGUACAAGAUGGAUUGACUAUUGAAGAUAAUGCCAAGUUACGUCUUCAAGAGUUAGAAGCACUUGAUAAAAAGCUAUUAGAGGCUCAGCAAGCAUUGGAAUGUUAUCAAGCGAGAAUGUCCAAAGCUUUUGAUAAGCACGUUAAACCUCGCUCCUUUCAGGUUAUUGAUCUAGUACUUGUUAUAAGAAGACCGAUCACCACAACAAGGCAUACAGGAAAUAAGUUCACACCUAAAUGUGAUGGACCCUACAUUAUUAAAGAAGUUUAUACAAAUGGUACAUAUAAGAUUAUUGAUCAAGACAGACUAUGAAUUGGCCCAAUCAAUGGAAAAUUUCUUCAGAAAUUUUAUGCUUAAUUUUGUUAUGUAAAAAAAUAAAAGUUGAACUAUGUUAUGACUUGAUCCCUAUAUUAUAAAGGGUACGUAGGCAACUCAAGGAAAACCUUAAGUCUAGUCCAGUAAAAAAAAUCGAACUACAUAUGACUUGAUUCAGACAUUAUAAAGGGCUACAUAGGUAGCUUAAAGAAGUUUAAGCUCAGUCGUAUAUUAUAAAAUAUAAAAGGGGGCCCUUUUGAGUUAGGCUAUAAUUAGAGCGUCAUUAUCACAAAGACAACCAAACAAUUUAAAUCAAAAAUUAAAAUAAUACAAGUAGAUAAAUAAGAGGAGGGCAGUGAAUCAUCAACUCCUCUAGUGUGUUUUCUAAAUAUUCACGAAGUGCUCAUAGCAUUUUAGCAUAAACAUCUCCAACAAUUGAAGCACAUUCGAGUUUGUCAAUUUCCUCGCAAGUCUUUGAAAUCUCAUGCUACUUCCACUUCAGCUCUAUGUCGUUCUUGAAAAUUAUGUCAGAAAGUUUGGCGGAGUCUGUUCGCACCACCAUUAGUUUUGCUUCUAGUUUAACCUCCUUGGCAGAUAGCUGUGUAAGGUGAUGUUUGACAUUGUUUGUCUCUGCCAAAAUACGAUUCUCAUUAAGUUGCAGAGUCUUCACAAAACCUUUUGCCUCUGUUAACUGAGCAUCCUUAGUUAGUUGGAAUAAAUAUAAGGAAGGUAUUCGAUUAUGGUUCUCGACACCUUGUAAGUAACCAUCCACAAGCUCCCUUAAAAUGGUAAGGUUGUUAUUGCCACUAGUUACAAUUGCAUCAAAGAUCUUACGCAGUUCUGGUUCAAGACUAGUUACUUGCCCUAAAGGGGUAUGAAUGAUCUUCUGUCGUAGGUUUUCCCACAAGGUUAUGGUACUAUGUUGCCGAAGGUCAGAAAUUAAGUUGUCUGCACAAAAAUGAGAAAUCUCAUAAGCUGCAAUAGGCUUUUUUCCUUUCACUUGUUGAGGGGACCCCUUGAUCACAAGAGGAUGAGCUAACUCGAUAGUUGUACUUAUAGGUGUCUUAGAAUUCUCACUAUAAAUAAGUACAGCGUUAUAGCCUUCUGGGUUCAUCAUCGACUUUAAGGUUCCUCUGAUUUGUAGGACAAGGUCACCUAAAGAGGAUUGCAAAAUAAUGUUAACAAGAAAUAAAAGUGGGAGUAAAGGAGAUGAAAUAAAAUAAAUAAAUAAUAAAAAAGGAGACAAAAAAAAAAAACCAUGGGGGAGGGGACGUCAAAAAAUUGUGUGGCAUCGAGAACUUCAGUAGGAGGCUCUUCAUCAUCAAUCGACUGUUUGUCAAGCCUCUUGGGUCCUUACCCACAUUGUUAGUACCACCUCUAAUAGGAAGUUUAAAUCGUGUAGAAAGGGUCGAAUUAUCCAACAAGCAUUUUGUACAUUCCUCGAUUUUCUCCACGGGUCAUUCCUUAGUUUCAUUGGAGCAUAUCUUUUGACUUCCACUACUAAAAUUAUUCUCAAUUUUUUUGUAGUUUUGGAUUUGAUGUAAGGGGGAGUGGGACGAUCUAUCAAAUGUUGCACUCCUUCUUAGAGGUAAUAUGGGCAUUUAGGCUAAGGGCAGGUGCAUGAAGAUAUAUUUGGGAUAGUGCGUUCUCGCGAAUGCAAAUCAUCUAAUAAUAUCGUACGUUGGCAAAAUCAGCUUCAGGAAUUUUUUUGCCUAAGUCAUAUGUCACGUCUUGAUAAAACCAAGUUUUCAGCUAAAGCGACAAGGACUAUAAGGUUCAAUAAUUGUGGAGGAUCCACAUUACAAAGAUAGAAAACAAGAGUGAAUGCUUAUAAAGAAUGCAAUAUUCCAAUUAAUUAACUUUCCAUGGUCCAUUAAGAGUUCGCCUUUAUUCUUUGCCUAAAGAUAUGUGUGCCAUGACACAUACUUUCCCUUGUGAAUAUGUGUUCGAGCCUCAAGAUUAGUAUAGUAUUUGGCCCCACCUUCACCAAAAAACUAAACCAUCGAUGGACCCCUAAGACUUCUAGGGGCUUUAUAAUAAGUGUUGAAGUAAAGAGCAAGCCAUCCGUGAACAUAGUGAAGAGGAAAACAUGUAUUGGAAUGACCAAGUGAUGAAGUAGAAUCAUGAAUCUGACGUAGGCCAUUAUAAAUAUUGGCUAAAACAGGGAUAGCAAGGCUAAAGGUGUAGCCUUCCGCCAUAAAGCUAGCAACCUUAAAGACCUCUGGACGAAGGGUAAGUUGCUUGUUAGGGAACAAAAACACACAUAGCCAACAAGAGAAAAAUGUCGCUAGAUACAUUUUGUCCUUAUGUUCAUUUGAGACGCAUAAGUCAAGGAACACAUUGAGUUCAGCUUCAGACAAGUCUGACGUAUAAUAGGAGUUCCAUCUGGAUUAUGAGUUGAGCUAGGACGAGAAGUUUUUUUCAGCUUUCAAGAUGGCGGCUUCAAAUACUACCUUAGAUCGCGUAACCCAGAAAUAGAUCCAUUCUCUCACAGGGAUUUGAAAAUAUUCAUGCGUUGAGAGGCAAUGUGAUAGUAGGUUGAAAAUAAAUGCUCACAACUUUUUGGACAUGCGUCAAGCGAUUCAAAUAAGUCUUGAUGGCAAGGAAUGUUUUCUUCAUAAAAUCUACCUUUAAUAGGGAGUUUCUCCUAGCAUCCAUAUGUCCCAUAAGGAGAUGGACAUCUCACUAACUGAGGUGUGAAGGGUGUUUGUUAAAGAACACCAUGCCUCACAGAAAGCUCGAACAAUGAUGCUAUUGCGAUCAUAUGUGUACAAGGAGGCCAUUACAGCAUUAAAUAGGUUAGCUCUCUUGAGUACUACUAUAUUUCUAGCAAUGGCAAGCUUUAAUCAUUCCCAAUAAUGGGAAAGAUAGUAAAAUUCUCCAUGGACUUUGAGUACAUUGCCCGAACGAAUUUUUUAGUUGCUUAUAAUUCAACGGUCAAUAUCGAUUCUAGAUUCUCAUUUUGAAACUUGUUGCGGGUCGAGGAUUUGAGAAACCAAGAAGUUAAAUAUAAAUUUAGGUUUACGGACCAUUCCAUAGACCAUUUAACCAAAAAAAUAAAAUUUGUUCUUCGGUAUUUGGGAGUCCAUGAUAUUCUCGAAUGCCCUUUCUCUCACACGGAGAAUGACUCUACUCUCUAAAGCUUGAUUUUCAUCAUUUAUAAUGAUUAAACACCUUUUGAUCGAAUCAGAAUACUCAAUGAAGUGCACUAUGGCGAAAAGCAGAAUUCCUGCACAUAAAAAAAAAUUGGUAAGUAAAAAUAAAUAAAUAAGAAAAAACAAAAAAAAGAAUGAAAAAAUGAAAAAAGAAAGGAAAAAAGAAAAGAAAAUAACGGGAAAGAAAAAUAAAAAAAAUGAGCAAAAAAAAACAAAACAAAAAAGAAGAAAGAAAAUCGAGAAAAACAGAAAAUGAAAAUGAAAAUGAGAAGAACGAAGAAACUCGAUCAUUCCUACUAAGGGUGGAUCAAACGGCAAAAGCUCGAUUGUUUCUUAGUAGAAGUUGGAUCGCUGACGAUGAAGCAGUGCCAAGAUGCCCGAUCGCUCUUACUAGGAAGGUGGAUCUGACGACAAAAGCCCAAUCGUCUCCUAGUAGAAGUUGGAUCACUGACGGCGAAGUAGAACCAAGAUGCCUGAUUGCUUUUAUUAGGGAGGUAGAUUUGACAGUAAAAGUCUGAUCGUCCCCUAGUAGAAGUUGGAUCGCUGACGUCGAUGCAGAACUAAGAUGUUGAUCGUUCCUACUAGGAAGGUGGAUCUGACGAGAAAAGCCCGAUCAUCCCCUAAUACAAGUUGGAUCGGUGACGACAAAGUAGAGCCAAGACGUCUGCUCACUCCUACUAAGGGUGGAUUUGACGGUAAAAGCUCGAUCAUCCCCUAGUAGAAAUCGGAUCGCUUAUGGCGAAGCAGAACCGAGAUGCUUGAUCAUUCCUACUAGGAAGGUGGAUUUGACGACAAAAGCCCGUUCGUUCCCUAGUAGAAGUUGGAUCCCUGAUGGCAAAGCAGAACCAAAAUGCCAGAUCAGUCCUACUAGGCAGAUGGAUCAGAUGACAAAAGCUCGAUUGUCCCCUAGCAGAAAUUGGAACGCUGACAGCGAAGUAGAACCAAGAUGCUCGAUCGUUCCUAAUAGGGAGGUGGAUCAAACAAUAAAAGCUUGAUCGUCCCAUAGUAGAAAUUGGAUCACUGAUGGUGAAGCAGAACCAAGAUGUCUGAUCUCUUCUAUUAAGGAGAUAGAUAUAACGACAAAAGCUCGAUCGUCCCCUAAUCGAAGCUGGAUCACUCACGAUGAAAUAAAACCAAGAUGUCGAAUCAUUCCUACUAGGGAGGUGGAUCUGAUGACAAAUACAUGAUCGUCCCCUAAAAGAAAUUGUAUAGCUGAAGGCGAAGCUAAGCCAAGAUGCCCGAUCGUUCCUACUAGGUUGGUGGAUCUGACGAUAAAAGCAUGAUCGUCCCCUAGUAGAAAUUGGAUUGCUGACGGUGAAGCAUAGCCAAGAUGCCCAAUCAUUUCUAGUAGGAAGGUGGAUCUAACGACAAAAGCCGGUCAUUUUCUAGUAAAAGUUGGAUCGCUGAUGGCAAAGAAGAACUAAGAUGCCCAAUCGUUCCUACCAGGCAGGUGGAUCUGACGGUAAAUGUCUGAUCGUUCUCUAGUAGAAGUUGGAUCACUGAUGGCAAAGCAAAACCGAGAUGCUCGAUCGUUCCUACUAGGAAGGUGUAUCUGACAGCAAAUGCUCGAUCUGUUGGAAUUUAUGUCCUAAAACUCGUAGUUUGUAAAUCAUAUUUUAUUCAAUAAAGUCGUUACUGAUACUAUAAUCUUAAAGCCAAUAAACUAAGGACUCGAGGCUAUUAUUGAGUAAAUUUGAAUUUUAUGUAGAGACAAAAACAUGGAUCAAGUUUGAGUAUAUAGUCUAAAUAGUCUAUAGUAUAAGAAUACGGUUGGGCACCUUAAUCUGGAGACAUUAUGGAUGCAGCCCGCUUUGUAGUUAGUACAAACAAUGUGAUUCUGAAUCGUUCAUGUAGAGACAUGGAAUUGAGGGCAUCGUAUGUAAAAAGUUUACAUAAGACUAAAACCAUGAAAUAGUCGCUUUUAGGUUAUAACACCAUUGACUUUUAAAAAAAUUGACUAUUUCUUUUACAGAUAUCCAAGGUAACUUAAUCUUAAUCUUGAGUUAACUAUGAACUUCUAUUCACACAAAAUUAUCUUUAGAUCUGCAUAGGUGAGGGCAUCUCAAUGGCACUGGCCCAAUAAGCCUCUCGUUUAAGAAGACCAAAUGGAUAGCUAAGGACAUAGGGUGAAAGAUGAAAUUCGCUCCUACAUGUUUUAAAGAUAGUAGAUAGGUUGUUCCCUUAAGCACUGAAUCUAGGUCUUGAACAAGGGGCCCCACCCUCUCGUUGGCCCGAGAGGGAUUUAGUUUAAAGGUUGGACGUUAAACCAAUUGUUCAGUAGUGGAUCAGUAGAACCUACGGAGCAAGAUGUAGUCUCAAGGGUAAAACGGUACUUUGACCUGGCUGAGAUUACAAACAAUCUGUGAAGGAUUAACUUACUUAUUAUGACUAUAUCACAUGGACACAAAUAUAUCUAUAGUGAGGGGAGUGAAACUACGGGACUUUAGUGGAAUGACCCGUUAAUUAACGAAGGUUGAUUAACUCGAUAUAAAAGAGUUUAGCCAGUUAAUCUCAGAUCAUUGGAGUUCAUGAUCUAUAGGUCCAUUAGGUUCCCUCACUAGCUCACAAGGAAUCAACUUGAAACAUUAUGAUGGAAUAAUUCGGAUUGUUCGAAUUAGGUAAAGAGAGAGAAACUAACGAAUAUAUUUGAUAUAGUUGUUGGCUCCAGAUAGAGCUUCAUGUUUAAAUGUUAUUUAAAUAUUAAAAAUAUGUAUAUGGAUUCAUAUUAGGAAGCUCGAAAUUGAUGGAAAUGGUCAAAGUUGUGAAAAGUCAAACUUUGACCGACUUUAUAUUAAAAUAUGAUUUGAAUUUCAGAUAAAUGAAUUUGAAUUCAUGCUCGAGAGGUCGAAGUUAGUCAAGACGAACAAAAUGGUAAAAAAGUCAAAAUGUUGACUUUGGACUUGAAAAAUUCAAACUUUAAAUUUGAUUUAAAUAUUAAAUUACCAUAUUGCCCUUAGACUAAUUAAAUAAUAACACUUGUUAGGAUUUGGUAAACUUAUUACUUGCAUGUGGUAUGCAAGUGACUUAUUGCAUGCAAGACACCUACCCUACUUAGAAUUCCAAGUGGUGAGAUAGGGAAACUCUUACAAGCAAACUACAUGCAAGAGUUUCUUUUGCAAAUAUGAUAGGACUCUUGUGUUUGAAAAAUGCAAGAAUUAAUUUUGUAAUUGAGAAUUACAAAAUAAAACUAAGAACGUUUUUUCUCUCAACACCAAAGGGACCUAAUAGUUAGGUUCCUCUAUUUUUCCUUCCAUCAUUCGAGUCCCACAACUCAGUUCCAAGUACGGAGAAUAGUGGGUGAACUCUAGUGGUAGUCUCGGCUUCGAGUUCAUGAGGAGAUUGUGAAAAGAUUACAAGAAAAGAAAAGCAUGAGUUUUCUUUUAACCCUAUCUUUGUUUCAAUUAGGAUUGUUAUGCAUGUUGGUUACUAAACUUGUUUAGUUGCAAUUAGAGUAAAGUUUGAUCAUUAUUCCCCUAUGCAUGUCUACAAUUUCCAUCACGAUCGUUCCCUAGUAGAAGUUGGAUCACUGACGACAAAGCAAAAUCGAGAUGUCUGAUCGUUCUUACUAGGGAGGUAAAUCUGACUGCAAAUGUUUGAUCGUCCCCUAGUAGAAGUUGGAUUGCUAACGACAAAAAAAAAUCGAGAUGCCCGAUCUUUUUUAUUAGGGAGGUGGAUCUGAUGACAAAUGCUUGAUCAUCCCCUAGUAGAAGUUGGAUCCCUAUGGGUGGAGUCACCCCUGCAAACGAUUGCAAAAGAAAAAUGAACGAAGAAGAAGAAGUUCUUACCUUUAGCUCAUGUAAAAGAAAAGGGAAGAGAAAAAAAAAUACCAACAACAACAAAAGUGAGAAAAAAGAGGAAGAGAGAAAAAGAGAAAGAAGUUUUUCAUACCCUUCUUUUGGUGGACGAGGAAUAAAUUAUGAAAGUGUGGGUUUAAUUAUAAGUCAAACAAUUUCUAAAAGGAUUAAGAAUGAUCUUUAAUCAUUUUUUAAACAAAUUUAAUUUCUAAAAGGAUUAGAAAGGAUAUUUAAUCAUUUUUAUAACAAAUCUAAUUCCUAAAAGGAUUAGGAAUAAUAUUUAAUCUUUUUUUAAUAAGAAAGAAAAGAUAAUUCAAUUAUAUUACUUUAUUGUUUAAAAAUAAUAAAAUAAUAAUAAUACUCAUUUUUUGGAAUAAAUCUCAAAUUUCAUUUUUGAGAAAUUAAAAUAUUUAAAUAUUUCAAAUUUUUUGAAAAAACUUAGAUCUUAUUCCCAAUUUUUAAAAUUAAAUUUUUUAUUUAAAAUACAAGUCAAAUGAACUUGCAUAUAUGGUCUUAUUUUUAUCUCAAAUUUAAAUUGGAGACAUGAAUCUUGUUAGGUCUUAUAAACUUGCAUAUAACUCUAUCUCAAGAUUGAUAGCCUUCUUUUUUUUUUAAUCUCAGAUUAAAUUUAAAUUUUUAUCCUCAAAUCAAAUUAAAUUGCGGAUAAAACUUUGAACUUUUCUCAAAUUAACUUAGGUUUGGCCAUAUUCCAACCCUUAUUUCAAAUUUAAAUUAAACUCGUGUACUAAAUUAAUAGUUUGAUUAAUUUGAUAUGUAGAAUUGAGCAAAAAAAAAAAAUGUUUGUAUCUUGACUUCAAAUUUAUCUUUUUUCAAGAUUCAUUCACCCAUAUACGUGCAUAAAUCUCAAAGAGUGUCAUUUGUUGAAUAGAAAAUUUUGAGACCAAUGACAAAUUGUCACAUCAUUUACUAAAUUAACGAUGAAAAGUGCAAAUAAUUGAUUUUGUGACUAAUUAAAAAACUAACAUGUGUCCCAAAUUAAAAUUGAAAACAUAAAUUAGUCAAUUCUGAUAGUGCCACAUGUUUUCAUCAUAACAGUUGGAGCAAGUUAAGUUCAUUUGAUCCCAAAAAUAAGCUUAAUUAGCUCAAAGUCUAAAUAUGACUCAAAUCCAUGUGGUUGAGUUCAUGGGCUUGGUCCAUGGACCAACCAGGCUCAAGAUCAUAAAAUCCACCAUAAAACUCUACAAAUAGAGAAGUUCUCAUCAUUUGUAAGAAUUAAAAAAAUUUUACUCCAAAAAGUCUAGAAAGAAUUCUCCCAAGAGCUAUAAGAUUUCCUAACUCCUAAAGUUGACCGUCCUUGAAGAUUGAAAAUCUUUUGAAGAUACAAGUUUUCUUUCAAAAUUCCAACUUCAAUAGCAUCACGUGUUUCGCUUCCUCCAGAUAAAGCGUAGAUGUUCAACUGAGAGAGAAACAGAUGAUCAAAUUCUAGAGAUUGAACCACAUUACAUCAAAUCAACAUAAAUACAACAUCAACUCAAGUUCAACUCCACGAAUCAAAUUUCUCCAAAAAUCCCGUACGAACAAAUGUCUCUAUGUUUAUUAUAUAUCUUGGUGGGAGAAUAAUAAUAAUAAAGUAUUAUCAUUAUUAUUAUUAAUGGUAAUUAUAAAUGCUUAAGAUUUUGUACAUUUAAGGAAUUGUAAUAGGAAAAUAAACAAUAACGAUAAAUAUUAUUACUAUUAUUAUUUGAGUUUAUAAAUGGCAUUAAAAUGCUUAAAUUGAAAAGAAAAUUAAAAAAAAAAUCAUCUUCUUUCCUAAGAUAACCCUAGCCGAGUUGCCCCUACUUGAUUGAAGAUAUAUGUCGUUGCCUUUUACCGUCGUCGCUCGGUUUGGUUAAGAUUGGUAACUUAGGUGAGUAUUUUGGAUCGUUAUUGUGAAAUUUUAAUACUCAUUGAAGGUUAAUUGAUACUCUAAAUUAAGUUUAUUAUUAGAAUUGAUUUUAGUUGCAUGUCUUUAGGAGGUCCCUUUGACAAAGCUUAAGGAUAUAAAUGAUCAAUUUUCCCAUCAAGGUUGAGAUAGAUUUUCAAGCUCCAUUUGGGUAAGUUUGAUAAGCUAAGGUAAUUAAAUUAAUAUUUUGUUGAUAAAAAUUGUUAAUUUAAUUUUGAUUAUGAGAAAGUUGAAUUGUUGUUUCAUCUGCAAGGAACUCAGCAUAACCUAGGUUAAAGGUUCUUCUACUAGGUCCCAAUUAAGGGUUGAAUUGCUGACAUAAUUGAUAAUUUUAUUAAAUAAAAUUAUUAAUUAUUUUCUUUAUGUUAGGGUUAAUUUCUGAUUUUUGGAUAUACCCAUCAAAUGUUAAUUAUUAGUUCGAAAAUAAAUUUAAUUUGAAUUUUUGGAUAUACCCAUCAAAUGGUGGGGUCGGGUUAAUAGGUAUGAUUAGUUCAUCUUGCCAAAAGAGGUGUUUGUAGUUUGCCAAGUACAUAACAUCGUGAGUCAUGUAUGUAUAAGGUUCGAAGAAGGCAGAGAAUGGACACAUUGGGUUCUAUCACCCGAUAACUGUAUGCUUGACAUUAUAACUAUUAUUCAAAACAAGAAAUUUGAUACAAAUCAAUGCUUCUUAUUAAAUGCAUAUAUACAUUUCUACCAUAUGUCUUAUAUCUCAUCCAUGGAAACUCGGUCUCUCUGUCUUUCUCAUGUUCUUAGAUUGCUAUUUUUGUUAGGAUUUGCAUUGCUUAUCUGGAUUCCACGUGGAACCUCAUCCAACAUAUCAAUUGCUUUACCUUUAGUGUAAGUGAAAGAUAAGUAUUAAAGUUAUGUCCUUUGCAGUUUCUCCCUUGAUUGUUUUAUAUUUUUUAUAUGUCUAAAUUGACUAUAGGUAUUUAUUUAUUUGUUUCUUUAUGUUACUUAUGGUGUUCUGUAACAUUUGAUUUUUAGGACGAACAGAAAAGGCUCUCUUUCUAUGCUUCUCCCUUCCUUCCAUUCAGAAAAUUCACAUUUAAAGAUAAGAAAUCCAAAAAGGUAUCCAUCUAAAGUCAUUCUGGUAUUUGUCGUUUCACUCAUGUUGUAUUGUAUGUUUAAGAAAUUCUUGGCUACUUUAAAUUUUGAAUCUUGUGCCUUGCAGAUUCCUGUUGUCAACUAUAUUUUCCAAGAUUCUCUCAAGCGAAAAGUUAGCAAUGCAAUUAGUUAUACCCUGACUUAGUUUGUUUUCUGCAAUUACUUAUAUAUUCAAACUUACACACUUCCAUGGAGUUUUGAAUAUGCAGUGAAUGUUUAAUAGAUUACAUAUUUCCCCUAUAGGUUGUUAACGUACAUCAGGCCUUGGAGAAGUUUUUUUGUCCUUGAUUCCUCUUGUAUCUAAAGAGGAAAUUCAACCUAAUGGAGUUGAUUGGAGUGUUGAAUGUGCAAAUGUUCAUGCUACAUCAAGGAUUCAAGUAUUGAAGUACUGUCUAAAACUUUAUAUAUAAAACAAACUAUAGCAAUGCACAAUUAAUCAGUGAACGCAGAGAAUAAUUGUGGUAUGGAGUGUUCUCUAUCUACUGGCUUUCUCCUCUCCUAUUUUAUGAUGGAAGAAACAUCUGUCAUAAUGUAUCUUAUAUGCUCACUUGUUGAAGAACCUUUCACAACUAUAACUGGAUAGGUGUGAAUUUACAAAAUAAGUAUUAUAUUUGUGCUGUCAUUUUAUUUGAAUUAAGAAUGUACUUGUUAUAAUAGUUAAACACUUGUGUUAGUAAGUAUUUCAAACUUGGUUGGAACAAAGUGUUAGUGAUUAUUUCAAACCUUUUGGAUGAAUAUAAUGCUUCCUUGUUUGUGUGUUAUAAAUUUGAAUAUUUUGGUUAUAGUUGUGAUUGUAGAUUUGAGAUGUGAAUUACACCUUUCAAAUAUGGCAAAUUAUUUGAUGUAUAAACAUGAUCUAUAUAAUUAUAAUUUGAUUUUACAAUAAUAAUAUUAACAAAUGGUUAUUGGAUAGGUGCUUAAAAAAUGCUCUAGAAGGUCCAUCAACAUUAAAAUUCAUGCGUAUGUACAAUAUUUUUCCAUUACGAUGAAUAAUGCUAAUAGAAAUAGGAGACUUUCGAUAACAUUUUUAAAACCACUAUAUAGUUUUUACAACGUUUUUUUUUUUUUUUGUUAUAUAAACUAUUUUGUUGUACUUUUUCAAUACUUUAAAACACUUCCAUAACAUUGAAUUAUAGCUAUCAUAUAUAAACUUUUUAUAUUAUUAUUAUUAGCUCUACAAAAUCCCUAUAAAAAGUCAAGGAAUUUUUUGCUAUGAAAGCAUUCAUAAAAUGCUACAAAAAAAACUUUUAUAGCAUUUUUUAAAUAUUAUUAAAAAAUCUAUUGAAGCGUUUUGACAACGCUUUUCGAACGCAAUAAAGAAUGCUAUAAAAAGUCUUUUAUAGCAUUUUUCCAAUGUUAUUAAAAAGCUAUUGAAAUAUUUUGAUAGCGCUUUUCCAAUGCAAUAAAAAACACCAUCAAAUUUUCAAUACCGUUUUUUUUUUUCACGUUAUAAAAAGUAUUUAUAGCAUCAUAUAUAUGCUAUCACCAGGAACAUUUUAUAGCGUUUUACAUAGCGUUGUAAAAACGCUAUGGAAAGUCAUAGAGUUUUAAUAACAUGGACUUCGACAGCAUUUCGAAAACGCUAUUGAAAAACAACGAUAGCGUUUUUUAUGCUAUCGUAACUCAUAUUUCUUGUAGUGUCAAUGAGGGUUUGUUGCCUUUAAAAGUGAUAUUUUCUGUAGUGUCAAUUAGUUUGAAAGUUUAGGUUGUUAAUGAGGGUUUGUUGACUUUAAAAACACUCUUUGUGUCCGAAAAUGCUAACCUUGCACGUCAAAAAUUUCUGAAUUGUUUUUUUUAGAUCGGUCCGAGAUGCAUCAAGAUUUGCUCCUUUAUCGGUUGAACAAGCACUGAGAUCUUGAUCGAAAAACAUAAAUGUCAUUUACUUCAAGUUCUAAGUGAACAAAGCCCUGAGAUGGCCCGAGUUCUUCUUGCCUUCUACUCUGAGCUUUCAAUCUCAGUUGAACACAACCCCGAGAUUGUUCGAGAUCCUUCACUUUUGAACCUUCUUUUUUGCAUCUCGGCUACCAUACCCCGAGAGUAUCGAGAUUUCACUUCUACCUUUUAUCUCGAUCGAACAGGACCGAAUCCCGAAGACACUUAUUUUGUUUAACAACCAACUUUUUCCUCAACUUUUCUUCCUAUCAACUACUCAACACAACUUCAACCUUAACAUGUAACUUGAACCAAAUCUUAAGAUUUCUCUUUCUUUUACCAAAGCUUACCAAGUCCUAAAGGUUAUAAAAAUUAGGGUUUUGCACACUCUCACCAGAUAUAUAUCUUCAUUAUUCUUUUUUUUUUAUUAUUCAACAUAAGAAAACUAUUGAUAUUUCUUCAUUAAACAAAAUAUAACUUGAAUGGAGAACAAAACUUAGAAUAUAAAAAACAACUGAGAGAUAAAAAACAUUAAUUUUUAUAAAAAUCACAAAAAAAAUGCAUACAGUUUUUAUCAAAUAUGCAAUUUUCUAUUAAGAAGAUUCAAAACUCUACCACAUGCAAAAUUAUCAAACUUGAUAAGUCAAAUAUAUUAUUAAUCUUUUUUCCUGUUUUUUUGUGGAGCUUUUCUUUUAUGAUCAUCAUUUCGUGUGGUUCUUAAAUUUGGAUGAUUAUUUACCAACCACGAAAAGUACUCAUUUCUUCUUUUACUACGAUUACAACCUCGAUUACAAUUGUCAAAUUCACAACAUUCAGGAAAUGAUAUUGUUCCAAUAGGUCAAGGUUCAUGAUUUUCUAUCCACCGUGAUUAAAAUUUCACAACAUUCAAGGAAUGAGAUUAUUCCAGAUGGUCAAGGUUCAUGAUUUUCUAUCCACCAUGAUUAAAAUUUACUACAUUCACCAAUAAAUGUUGGCUCUUUCGAUGACAGUUAUUCAUAAUUCUUCAACCAAUAACUCAUUAUUUCUGUAACGAUCCCGCUAUUAUAAAACUAGCUUAGAACAUUACUUUCAUCCAAAGACACUUUAAAAUUCAAACCAAAACAAAUCAAAAGAAAACUUACAUUCAUAAGGGUCCAAAUCCAAUAGUUAAAAUACAAAAGAUUAUAAAAUUUGUUCCCAAAAAUGAAAAUCAAACAAAAUUUAGUUCUAGUCCUAUUUCAAAUAAAAAUAAAAUUAAAAAGUGUUUAUGUUUUACAAUAGUUCUAAACAUAAAAUUCAUCAUAGUCAACAAAACUUGCAAACAAGCAAAGCGAAUUCUCAUAUGGCAUUCACGAGUUCUUGUCACACGCCUAUGUCUCUCAUAUCAUCUUUGUUUGAAAAAGUUAAACAAGAAAAUGUUAUGAUUAUGAAAAUAUACUAGUAAGAAAUUCACUAUGAAUCCACACCAUAAUCCCAUAGGAGUUGGUUUCCUCCUAGCUAGAAAAGUUCAUUCCACCCAAAACAAUACAAACACUCAAAUCAAAUACAAUCAAAUCAAAUCUAUCAACAAUAAUUAAGUUGAAAUUAUAACUAGUCAAAAUAAGCAUGCAAGUAGACAUCUCCAUCAAUGUAACAAGGUCGAUACAUUUCAACUGAUAGUAACUGAAUUGCUUCAAAAAUUCGUCAACAACCUACAAACGAAAUAAUGACUUAAAGUCCAAAAAUUAAUUUAGUGAGCACCAAAACUUGAUAUUUCAUGAGAUACCAAAUUCCAAUCAAAAGCAUGCCAAAGUACCAAAAUCAUUCAACUUGGCUCAACUGGUGGCUUAGCUAAAGAAAAGAAAAGAAGAAGUCUUGGAUCUGGACAGUUAGCUCGGGUUGGCUGGUGACCGGCGUGGAGAUAAAGACGUCGGCUCGAAUUUGAAAAAACGGAGGGGAGGAAUCGCAAUGAAGCUUCGACGGCAGCUGCGAACAACGGAGAGCUGAGCUGUACGGUGGAAGAAGCCGGCGAGGCGGAGGAGGACCGAAAACGAAGAGGAAGACGUUCGGACUUGGAACGACGCUCAAACUCUUGAUGGAGAUGUCGGCUCGCAACGACUGGGAAGCUCAACGGGAUUGGGACGGAGAACAGACGUGACGACAACCGAUCGAAGAUGGUGGACGGUGAAGAGCAAACUGCGGCUAGGAUAUGAAGAGGAUCGGAAGAAGAUGAAUGAGAAAAAUGGAGGCAUAAGAAACACGAGGGUUAUUUAUUUAAAAUAAUAAUAAUAAUAAUAAAUAAUAUUUAUUAAUAUUAUUUUUUUCCCACUAAAUAUUAAACAAUAUAUAUUUCCUCAACAGUUAUUUUCCUUAACUAAAUUUCCUCUCACCCAUCAAACUCCAAUAAUUUAACUCCCAACAAUUUAAAAUCUUAAUAAAAUAAAAAAGAUAAAUUUUGAAGCGUUACAAUUCCAUUCAUCCACGAGAAUACAUUAGAUAAGUGUAUAGUAUUUUUAAAAAUAUUUCUCUCAAUAAUUGAUGUGUAUAUUGAAGUAGAGGACGUUAUUGAUCAGAAGAUGCAAAAAUUGACACAGUUGCAAAAAAGGAAUUGCCAAUACAAGAGUCAUGCAAUAGUACAAGAAAAGAAUAACAAUUAAAGAAAUUUUGUGUUCGAUUGAGUAAUAAAAAUUCCUCUACCUUAUAGUAAUCAAACAAUAAACUAAAGAAGCAGUUGAAGAUAUUUGGAAUAAAGAUUAACACAACAAAAAAACUCAUAUAGAAUUGAUUUUCCUAUCAGUAAACAAUAAUUUCUUUGCUACUUAAAUUAACCCUCAGUGAAUUGAUUCAACAACCAAUUAUCUUACAGCAAUAAAUCAAGAAAUAUAUCAAUUUCAAAGAACAUGCUUUUAUCCUUAGCCGUUUCUACAUGUUCAUUUAAAAUUGCAUAAAGAACCAAGGCAUCAUGUUGAGGUUUUCUAAAGCAAGGAAUGUCUCUAUCUAAAGAAAUAUUAUUUGAGCAAAAUUCAAAUUGAAAAUCCAACACAAAUCAAUAAGAUAGACAGGUUAAAGUUUUAAUCAACAAUGUUCAAACCAUCAUAAAGUUCUAAUCAACAAUGUUCAAAUCAUCAUACUUCAAACAUUGUGCUUAGUGUCACAAUCGUAGCGUUUCAACCUCGAGACGGACGAUUGUGCGGCACUUGUUCUAACUCACGAACAAGUCAGCCGAUCAAAAUCCAAGAGUUGUGGGUAACGUCGGUGUAUGUCGUAACCUUCCUUCGCGUUUUAGGGAAAUUUUAUUUAUAAAACGCGGGAAAGAAAGAAAUACAUUGAAAUAGACGUUACAAUAAGCAUUAAAGACUGUCAGUUGCAAGGAAAAAGGGUUGCUUGCAAAGAGUACAACUAAUGCUUGGGCGGGGAUUCAACUGGUAUGCCUCCCCUAUAGUACAUUUUGAACAUUUUCUUCUCUGGCAGGCUUGCAUAUGGAAAAUGCCGAAACGUCACACCCAAGCUUUAUGACCUAG